rnacentral:rRNA from 1 species
GACGAACGCUGGCGGCGUGCUUAACACAUGCAAGUCGAACGGUGAAGCGCCUUCCUUUUUGGUGGGUGUGGAUGAGUGGCGAACGGGUGAGUAACACGUGAGUAACCUGCCCCCUUCUUCUGGAUAACCGCAUGAAAGUGUGGCUAAUACGGGAUAUUCUGGGUCUGUCGCAUGAUGGGUCUGGGAAAGAUAUUGUUUCGGUGGGGGAUGGGCUCGCGGCCUAUCAGCCUGUUGGUGGGGUGAUGGCCUACCAAGGCGGUGACGGGUAGCCGGCCUGAGAGGGUGGACGGUCACACUGGGACUGAGACACGGCCCAGACUCCUACGGGAGGCAGCAGUGGGGAAUAUUGCACAAUGGGCGCAAGCCUGAUGCAGCGACGCCGCGUGAGGGAUGGAGGCCUGCGGGUUGUGAACCUCUUUCGCCAGUGAAGCAGGCCUGCCUCGUUUGUGGGUGGGUUGACGGUAGCUGGAUAAGAAGCGCCGGCUAACUACGUG